UCUGGUUUCAACCUCACCUUCUCCAUGUAUGAGAAGACAAGUCACUUGGAUUCACCGUGCCUCGGUUUCCCCAGAUGACGAGCAGGACUCAGCCUUUUGUACCUGGUCCAUCAGCUUUCACGUGUUAGCCAACACCUCCGUCAUCACCAUCAUUGCCAUGAUCAUCGUCCUCAUCACCUUGACACGCUGAGCUUUGUAGCUUAAAAACAAAAUGCCUUUAACAAUGUGCAACAGGUCUAAGAUGCCACCUUUGGGAUCAGAUGGGAGUUUGGGAUUAUUUCUAUUUUCCAGUUGUUCGGCCCCCUCCCACUAAGUGCAAAGCGGAGAGCCAUUAAGUUGCAAUGGAUUUGAUUCACCACAUGGCCCCUCAAAUCCUUUCUGGAACAAGAUUGGAUGUAAAAAUAAAUGAAAUAAAUGCAUUUUCAGCGUGUGCAGCCCA
rnacentral:lncRNA from 1 species